rnacentral:rRNA from 1 species
GGACUACCGGGGUAUCUAAUCCCGUUUGCUCCCCUGGCUUUCGCGCCUCAGCGUCAGUAGAGGGCCAGCGGAUCGCUUUCGCCACCGGCGUUCCUUCCGAUAUCAACGCAUUUCACCGCUCCACCGGAAGUUCCAUCCGCCCCUACCUCCCUCGAGCUCCGCAGUAUCCGAGGCACUUCCCCAGUUAAGCUGGGGGCUUUCACCCCGGACUUUCGGAGCCGCCUACGCGCCCUUUAAGCCCAGUGAUUCCGAACAACGUUCGCACGGUUCGUCUUACCGCGGCUGCUGGCAC